UAAGUAAAAACUAUAAACAGUCGGGAUCACCCCCCUCCCACGUACCCGCUUCGAUCGAACUCUUCCCUUACCCUGGCUGCGUCCCUUCAGGACUUCGCUGCGGUCCGAGAUCCAUUGCCCCCUCCUGCAAACCAAAAAUCUUCCCCAGCCGUGUUUCUUCCUUCAGGACUUCGCUGCCCUCCCUCAUCCUGCCCUAAGGUUCUUCUUCAUCGGAGAUCUUGCAGCUUCGACUCCUUCUUCCUCUCAAGUUCUUGACCUCCUUCGGUUUCUUCGGUGAUCUCGCAGUUGGAGGGUCUGACAUUGGCCAUGCAUAAGAACAAAGAAGGCAUUGGCCAUCCUGGUUGAAAGUUACUGUUACAUAUGAUCUAGAUCUUACAGGUCCAAGAUCAAUUAUGAAGUGCAUUGGAGAUAUGCAAGUUCCCUGUUCUCUUUUCCUGUAUUUGUGUUCUCUAUGGUGCUUCUUAUGCUUCCUCCUUAUGGGGAUUGGCUAAAUAGCAAGAUACUCAAUAAUCUAAAUAUCGGAAUGCUGGUGAGAUUGUUCUUUUCUUCUCCUGUGUGAUUUUCUUCUCCUGUGCAGUUUGCAGUAAAUGGUUAAUCUGAGUCUCCAAUCUGUUUUGAUUUCUUUUGCUUUUUCUAAGUAAAAAGGGUGAAAAGAAUCCCUGAUUUGCGCUUGGGAUAAGUUCUGUCAUGAAGUAUACAAUAGUGUAAAUUUCCUAGACUAUUUUAGUAUGGUCUCAAAUAACCCUCUUGGGUUUGAGUGAUUCAUAUGCCUAUGUUGCAAGAUGAUGGUGGAUUAAAGUCGAAUGACAUGUAUUAAUGCAUUAUUGAUGGUUUACUCUGCAAAUAAAACACAUCAAUAUUGAUGCUUUACUCUGCUUUUACUUCUAUAGAUUUAUAUCACUUGAAAUUCUUUUUUUUUUAUAUUUGGAGGAAUGUCUAAGGCAGCUGAUGAGCUCUUUCUAUUAUAUAAACUGAGGUGGAGUCCACAUAUUCUCUGGAAAUAUGAGCUUCAGGAACUCAGGGGCAUCCUGUAGAAUACUAUGCUACUACGGACUAGAGACUUCCUUUCUGAGGUCACGACAGACCCAUAACUACAGUCGAUACUUUUAUAGAUUCCCCCGGAGACUCGCAGAAUAGUGUGAUUUUUUCCUUUGGGCUGAUGGUCAGGUGGAUUCCAUUGCUGGAAGUGAUCACGAAUUGAUAACAUUAUUGGAAGACAGUUUAGGAGGAGACAUCCAUCGCCUUCGUGUUAAAGACAAUAUCAUUAUUACUAUACUUGUAAUUUUAUUAAUUUUUUUUUUCAUAGAACUUUUGAUACUCACUAUUAAGUGAGUGGUG